rnacentral:rRNA from 1 species
CUCCAGCAUGGAAUAAUAAGUAAGGACUUUUGUCUUUCUUAUUGGUUCUAGGACAAAAGUAAUGGUUAAUAGGGACAGUUGGGGGCAUUCGUAUUUAACAGCCAGAGGUGAAAUUCUUAGAUUUGUUAAAGACGAACUACUGCGAAAGCAUUUGCC